rnacentral:rRNA from 1 species
AACGAACGCUGGCGGCAGGCUUAAUACAUGCAAGUCGAGCGGGCACUUCGGUGUCAUCGGCGCACGGGGGCGUAACGCCGGGUGACAUGCCCUUAAGUACCGAACACCCGACGGAAACUUUGGCUAAUAACACAUAAUAUAUUAGGGUCAAAGAGUUAUGGCUGCAAGGUUGGCCCUUGUUAGAUUCGGUGGUUGGUGGGGUAAUGGCCGGCCAAGCCGACGAUCUAUAGGGGGUGGGGGAGGAUGAUCCCUCACACUGGAACUGAGACACGGUCCAGACUCCUACGGAACGGAGCAGUAGGUAGUAUUGGACGAUGAGCGCAAGCCUGGUCCCGCCAUGCCGCGUGAGUGAUGAAGGCCUUAGGAUUGUGAAGCUCUUUUAGAUGGAGAGAUAAUGACGGUACCGUCAGAAGAAGCCCCGGCUAAAUUCGUG